GACAAUUUUUUAAAAAUAGUCAACAAACUUAAAUUUUACAUGGAUGCAUAUUGAUAAUCAAAGCAGCAGUUUGCAUAAACUAGGAAGCGAAACGAAUGUCGUUGAAGGGACAGCUCAAUCAGGUCUAAAGUGUGAACCAUUGAGAUGGGCAAAUUGAACAGAGAGACAGAAAAAAAAUGAUGACUAAUAUAAGUAUCCACUUGGAAAUGUACCUAUUAGGGUUUAGAUCCUUAACAGAGCAGAAAAGAAAGAAAGAAAGAAGGCAUAGAAAGAGAGAUUUCAGAGAAAGAAAGGGGAGAAUUUCAGAAAGAAAGAGAAGAAAGAGUAGGAAGACUAUUGUUUCAGAUAUUUUCUGGAAUAAUUCUUUACAAGAGAGUCUGCUGCCUAUUAUACAAUUGCUAAUUCUUUGGUAACUACAUCUCUAACUACUUCUUUGAUUGUUACAAUACUUACAACAGAAUAACUACUUCUAUUCCCUCCAAAAAUACCCAG
rnacentral:misc_RNA from 1 species